CACGAUAAGGGCAAACCCUGAGUGAUCAGGGGACGCAAAGUAAUAGGGUCUUGAGAAUGACAAGGACGUAGUUUGCAGAGACUUGCUUGCGGAUGAAAAGACAGCCUUACUGCCGAAG
rnacentral:ncRNA from 1 species